UUUACUCCUAUGAGACCCAGCCUUAUUAGACUUUUAUUUUUUCCUAUUAACAAAAAAAAAAUAAAGUCGAAAAAAAUUUAAAUCAAAAGAUUUGAGUUGAGGUAUGAUUAUGUUCUUAUAUUAUUUUGUUUUGCUAGAUUCCUGGUUGUGUGGGAAUAUGAGGGAAUGACAUUAUAGAUAUGAUCUCACAGAAUCCUUUAACUACAUUUCUGUCAACUUCCCAGAUAUCCUAUUAUGAUCUUUUUCAUAUAUAAAUUUUCUAUAUAAAAAAUAUGGUAGAACCUAUGAAACAGAGAAAUUACAAAUAAAUUAUGACAUUAAAUCUUUAACUGACAUUCUUCUACCUGAAGAAAUUGUAAAGAGGAAAUGGUGCUCACUCAUGAAAAUUGGCCACUCUGAGUGACUCAUUUGCAUUUCUUGAAGAGGAAUCCAUUGUUAACAUGUCCUUAGUGUGAUGCUAUCUUAAGUAUCUAUUAACUUUUUAAUUUUAGAAAUUUAGUAUAUACUGUUUAUAUGCCUUUAAUUACUUUGAUGUCACCUUGCCAAAAGUUUUAUCAGAUUCUUCAUAUGUUUUAUGAUUAUUAUUGAUAAUUUUAUAUCAGGAACAUACUGGUAUAUGUUCCAGAUAUAUAAAGCUCUAACUCUAAUAUAUACAGGAUUUACUCUAACUCAUUCUGAAACUUUUAUGUUGUUCCUUUUCUUCUCAUUUUCCAUUAUUAGAUUCUAUCAUCUUAUGUUAGCACAGUAUGGCCAAAGUAGCCCUUGCACCACUAAAUCUUGUAAAACAAAAACUUAUGGAGAUCAGCUAGACUGAAGAGGAUGAAGAUCAAUGAUUUAGGACCUGACCUCUAUUAAAUUUUCCAAGGGAUGAGAUCCUAAUUCUUUCCUAGAUUCUCUGCUUUAGAAAGUUGAAGUAUUUCCCCACUGCCAGUUUGACCAAUUGUCCUGUAUGCAUAUAAUUUUUAUUGUGUACUUGAGUUAACAUUCAUAUAAAAUGCAGUUGCCUGGUUUUCUAUAAUUG
rnacentral:lncRNA from 1 species